AAGGUCCCCUGGGACCAACACAUCUUUGGGAACUCGGGGAGAACUUCUGGGUCACAAAGACUUUGUCAGAUGCAGCCUCUGUUAGGUCAUAGCUGGGUGACCUGGACCACUCUGACCUUCUGUUUCAUCAUCUGGACAGCUAGUAUAGUGACCGCUAGCAGACAACACGGCCUGAGAUAAUGUGUGUGAAGCCUGACACGUAGCUGCUACUGGACAGCAGUAAAUUGUGUUCAUUAAGAUUAUACUGUCUUCUAGAACAGCCCCAAACCUCAGCGCAUUACCCCAGUAGAAGUUUAGCUCUUGCUCACAAAAUUCUAAACAGGUGCUCUUUCAUGGCAAGCCACCUCCAUCCACACAGCCAGAUCACAGUGUCCCUGGAGUCCCCCCUCACUCUGUCUGCCGUUGUUCUGGUCCUUGUCACCACCGCCUCUCAUGUGAAUUUCUGCCGCAGCCUCACCACGAUGUCGUCGCCCAUCACUGGUGUCAGCCCCUCAUUGAUCUCACAUCUCAUCUACACACGGCAACCGGUGGAUCCUGUGAGGUCAAGGACCUUGCUGUGUUUUUCCAUCUCCUUCUCAACGAGGCCCAUGGUGUUCCCACUCCUGAAACAUGGCAGCCACCCCAACACAGCACUGCCUGCCUCCUGCCCCACAGCCUGGUCGCCUCCUGCAAAACCAAGUCCACCUUUUG
ensembl:lncRNA